rnacentral:rRNA from 1 species
UGGGGAAUAUUGGACAAUGGGGGGAACCCGUGAUCCAGCCAUGCCGCGUGUGUGAAGAAGGCCUUUUGGUUGUAAAGCACUUUAAGCGGGGAGGGAAGGCGAUAAGGUUAAUAACCUUGUCGAUUGACGUUACCCGCAGAAGAAGCACCGGCUAACUCCGUGUCAG